rnacentral:lncRNA from 1 species
CUUCUAAAACUAAUUUUAAGAUAAGUAUCAUUUGCUCAUACUCAAUACUUUGUAAUCAUCAAAAAGGGGGAGAUUGAGGAUGAUAGUAGUAUUUUGAUGAUUAUUACAACAAUUAAGGGUAUAUCUAAUUAAAUAUUACAAGGUAAUAUGAUAUAUCAUUAAUAAGUUCAUCAUUCUCGAUACAUUAGAAGAAUGAGAUCAAGAUUUAUUUCAAUAAUUAAUAAUGAGAUAAAAUUUGCGAUAGAAAAGAGAUAGUGAAUUCUAAAUUCUAAUUCGUCAAAGUUUCAAGUGAAAUGUACUCUUAAGGGACAAUAGUAAUUUUCAUUAAUUAGAGUAUGAAGCAUCGCCAUGACAUACAUACAAAAUUGCUUGAAGCAUAUUUCAUUGAUUAUAUAGAUGAAUCUAACCUUAAGUUGCAGUAAAGUGUGAAACAAGUCAACCCCAAGAUUGGUGGAGUCGACCACGGCACAUCA